GAUGAACGCUGGCGGCGUGCUUAACACAUGCAAGUCGAACGAAGCAGAUUGAGAUCUUCGGAAGGAUAUCUGACUGAGUGGCGGACGGGUGAGUAACGCGUGGGUAACCUGCCUCAUACAGGGGGAUAACAGUUAGAAAUGACUGCUAAUACCGCAUAAGCGCACAGUACCGCAUGGUACGGUGUGAAAAACUCCGGUGGUAUGAGAUGGACCCGCGUCUGAUUAGCUAGUUGGUGGGGUAACGGCCUACCAAGGCGACGAUCAGUAGCCGACCUGAGGGGGUGACCGGCCACAUUGGGACUGAGACACGGCCCAAACUCCUACGGGAGGCAGCAGUGGGGAAUAUUGCACAAUGGGCGAAAGCCUGAUGCAGCGACGCCGCGUGAGUGAAGAAGUAUUUCGGUAUGUAAAGCUCUAUCAGCAGGGAAGAAAAUGACGGUACCUGACUAAGGAGCACCGGCUAAAUACGUGCCAGCAGCCGCCGCAGUAA
rnacentral:rRNA from 1 species